rnacentral:rRNA from 1 species
UGCACAUACUGUGAGCUCGAUGAGUAGGGCGGGACACGUGGUAUCCUGUCUGAAUAUGGGGGGACCAUCCUCCAAGGCUAAAUACUCCUGACUGACCGAUAGUGAACCAGUACCGUGAGGGAAAGGCGAAAAGAACCCCGGCGAGGGGAGUGAAAAAGAACCUGAAACCGUGUACGUACAAGCAGUGGGAGCACGCUUCGGCGUGUGACUGCGUACCUUUUGUAUAAUGGGUCAGCGACUUAUAUUCUGUAGCAAGGUUAACCGAAUAGGGGAGCCGAAGGGAAACCGAGUCUUAACUGGGCGUUAAGUUGCAGGGUAUAGACCCGAAACCCGGUGAUCUAGCCAUGGGCAGGUUGAAGGUUGGGUAACACUAACUGGAGGACCGAACCGACUAAUGUUGAAAAAUUAGCGGAUGACUUGUGGCUGGGGGUGAAAGGCCAAUCAAACCGGGAGAUAGCUGGUUCUCCCCGAAAGCUAUUUAGGUAGCGCCUCGUGAAUUCAUCUCCGGGGGUAGAGCACUGUUUCGGCAAGGGGGUCAUCCCGACUUACCAACCCGAUGCAAACUGCGAAUACCGGAGAAUGUUAUCACGGGAGACACACGGCGGGUGCUAACGUCCGUCGUGAAGAGGGAAACAACCCAGACCGCCAGCUAAGGUCCCAAAGUCAUGGUUAAGUGGGAAACGAUGUGGGAAGGCCCAGACAGCCAGGAUGUUGGCUUAGAAGCAGCCAUCAUUUAAAGAAAGCGUAAUAGCUCACUGGUCGAGUCGGCCUGCGCGGAAGAUGUAACGGGGCUAAACCAUGCACCGAAGCUGCGGCAGCGACACUAUGUGUUGUUGGGUAGGGGAGCGUUCUGUAAGCCUGUGAAGGUGUACUGUGAGGUAUGCUGGAGGUAUCAGAAGUGCGAAUGCUGACAUAAGUAACGAUAAAGCGGGUGAAAAGCCCGCUCGCCGGAAGACCAAGGGUUCCUGUCCAACGUUAAUCGGGGCAGGGUGAGUCGACCCCUAAGGCGAGGCCGAAAGGCGUAGUCGAUGGGAAACAGGUUAAUAUUCCUGUACUUGGUGUUACUGCGAAGGGGGGACGGAGAAGGCUAUGUUGGCCGGGCGACGGUUGUCCCGGUUUAAGCGUGUAGGCUGGUUUUCCAGGCAAAUCCGGAAAAUCAAGGCUGAGGCGUGAUGACGAGGCACUACGGUGCUGAAGCAACAAAUGCCCUGCUUCCAGGAAAAGCCUCUAAGCAUCAGGUAACAUCAAAUCGUACCCCAAACCGACACAGGUGGUCAGGUAGAGAAUACCAAGGCGCUUGAGAGAACUCGGGUGAAGGAACUAGGCAAAAUGGUGCCGUAACUUCGGGAGAAGGCACGCUGAUAUGUAGGUGAAGCGACUUGCUCGUGGAGCUGAAAUCAGUCGAAGAUACCAGCUGGCUGCAACUGUUUAUUAAAAACACAGCACUGUGCAAACACGAAAGUGGACGUAUACGGUGUGACGCCUGCCCGGUGCCGGAAGGUUAAUUGAUGGGGUUAGCGGUAACGCGAAGCUCUUGAUCGAAGCCCCGGUAAACGGCGGCCGUAACUAUAACGGUCCUAAGGUAGCGAAAUUCCUUGUCGGGUAAGUUCCGACCUGCACGAAUGGCGUAAUGAUGGCCAGGCUGUCUCCACCCGAGACUCAGUGAAAUUGAACUCGCUGUGAAGAUGCAGUGUACCCGCGGCAAGACGGAAAGACCCCGUGAACCUUUACUAUAGCUUGACACUGAACAUUGAGCCUUGAUGUGUAGGAUAGGUGGGAGGCUUUGAAGUGUGGACGCCAGUCUGCAUGGAGCCGACCUUGAAAUACCACCCUUUAAUGUUUGAUGUUCUAACGUUGGCCCGUUAUCCGGGUUGCGGACAGUGUCUGGUGGGUAGUUUGACUGGGGCGGUCUCCUCCUAAAGAGUAACGGAGGAGCACGAAGGUUGGCUAAUCCUGGUCGGACAUCAGGAGGUUAGUGCAAUGGCAUAAGCCAGCUUGACUGCGAGCGUGACGGCGCGAGCAGGUGCGAAAGCAGGUCAUAGUGAUCCGGUGGUUCUGAAUGGAAGGGCCAUCGCUCAACGGAUAAAAGGUACUCCGGGGAUAACAGGCUGAUACCGCCCAAGAGUUCAUAUCGACGGCGGUGUUUGGCACCUCGAUGUCGGCUCAUCACAUCCUGGGGCUGAAGUAGGUCCCAAGGGUAUGGCUGUUCGCCAUUUAAAGUGGUACGCGAGCUGGGUUUAGAACGUCGUGAGACAGUUCGGUCCCUAUCUGCCGU